rnacentral:rRNA from 1 species
UACGUAGGGUGCGAGCGUUGUCCGGAUUUAUUGGGCGUAAAGAGCUCGUAGGCGGCUUGUCGCGUCGGAUGUGAAAGCCCGGGGCUUAACCCCGGGUCUGCAUUCGAUACGGGCAGGCUAGAGUUCGGUAGGGGAGAUCGGAAUUCCUGGUGUAGCGGUGAAAUGCGCAGAUAUCAGGAGGAACACCGGUGGCGAAGGCGGAUCUCUGGGCCGAUACUGACGCUGAGGAGCGAAAGCGUGGGGAGCGAACAGG